rnacentral:rRNA from 1 species
GAUGAACGCUGGCGGCGUGCCUAAUACAUGCAAGUCGAGCGAACGGACGAGAAGCUUGCUUUUCUGAUGUUAGCGGCGGACGGGUGAGUAACACGUGGAUAACCUACCUAUAAGACUGGGAUAACUUCGGGAAACCGGAGCUAAUACCGGAUAAUAUUUUGAACCGCAUGGUUCAAAAGUGAAAGACGGUCUUGCUGUCACUUAUAGAUGGAUCCGCGCUGCAUUAGCUAGUUGGUAAGGUAACGGCUUACCAAGGCAACGAUGCAUAGCCGACCUGAGAGGGUGAUCGGCCACACUGGAACUGAGACACGGUCCAGACUCCUACGGGAGGCAGCAGUAGGGAAUCUUCCGCGAUGGGCGAAAGCCUGACGGAGCAACGCCGCGUGAGUGAUGAAGGUCUUCGGAUCGUAAAACUCUGUUAUUAGGGAAGAACAUAUGUGUAAGUAACUGUGCACGUCUUGACGGUACCUAAUCAGAAAGCCACGGCUAACUACGUG